GCCUCCUGCACGGCCACAUGAGCUGGUGGAGGGGCCAGACACACAGUUCAGUCCACGGCAUGGUAGGACCAAGACCCUGGAGGAUACGAGCUGCCUGAGUUUGACAGAACUCCUGGUGUUCUGUUCUAAAGCAACAUUUAUGCCUGAAAAUGACUGCCAGAGAAACUUGACAUUCUGGGCAGGCUCUGGCUCUCAGGUUGCGCACCAAGAGCACUGUCCUCAGAAUGAGGUCGUCUACUAAGGAUGGAGUGUGGUGAAAACGCUCUGAACAGGCCAAACAGAGGCUGCACAGCUGGGCCUAUGAAAGCAACGGUGAGGCCAAUUAACCAACGGGGAG